rnacentral:rRNA from 1 species
UACGGGGGGGGCAAGCGUUGUUCGGAAUUACUGGGCGUAAAGGGCUCGUAGGUGGCCAACUAAGUCAGACGUGAAAUCCCUCAGCUUAACUGGGGAACUGCGUCUGAUACUGGAUGGCUUGAGUUUGGGAGAGGGAUGCGGAAUUCCAGGUGUAGCGGUGAAAUGCGUAGAUAUCAGGAGGAACACCGGUGGCGAAGGCGGAUCUCUGGGCCAUUACUGACGCUGAGGAGCGAAAGCGUGGGGAGCGAACAGG